rnacentral:RNase_P_RNA from 1 species
GAAGCUGACCAGACAGUCGCCGCUUCGUCGUCGUCCUUUCGGGGAGACGGGCGGAGGGGAGGAAAGUCCGGGCUCCAUAGGGCAGGGUGCCAGGUAACGCCUGGGGGGGAAACCCACGACCAGUGCAACAGAGAGCAAACCGCCGAUGGCCCACGUAAGUGGGAUCAGGUAAGGGUGAAAGGGUGCGGUAAGAGCGCACCGCGCGGCUGGUAACAGUCCGUGGCACGGUAAACUCCACCCGGAGCAAGGCCAAAUAGGGGUUCAUAAGGUACGGCCCGUACUGAACCCGGGUAGGCUGCUUGAGCCAGUGAGCGAUUGCUGGCCUAGAUGAAUGACUGUCCACGACAGAAAGCGGCUUAUCGGUCAGUUUCACUU